UUCAUUUUUUGUUUAGGACUGCGGCUGCAUCACCGGCAUUUUGCACAAGAAAGGCAUGCGAGUGUCGUUCAGUUUUGAGUUCGCUGGAAAAUCAUACUGAAUGGGAGAAUAACAGUGU